UUUACCUUCCAGUUCUGGCAGUGAACAUGCAGCUGUGUAGCACUGAGUUACUAGCUGAGGUUAAACCACAAUAGUUCCCUUUUGAUGCCCACCAUGGGAUGCAGAAGGUUCAAGAUAACAGCUUUGAUUGGAAUGUGUUAGAUGGAAUUUAUAGCCUUUAUUGCUGCUUGGCUGCUUUGGGCAGACUCCUGUGCUGGCCCUGGCCUUGAUGCUUUACAGUGCAUUAGUGUAGUGCUCAUCUGUGCCUGCUUUUUGCUUUCCCUGCUGGUGUGCGGCUGAUCCCCUCCCUCUGCUGAGCUUGGGGACAUUUUGAGGACAGCAGUGGUGAUGCACAGGGACUGGCAGAUGCCCAGGGCAUCGCUGCUGGUUCUGUGCUGCUCUACUGGACAUGCUGGAACUCUAGUGUGAGCUUCAGUCAGAGAGACUGGGACCUGUGGAUGCGUCCGUGUGGGAGCAGGAUAUGACUUCUCUGACCAUGAAUAAGUCCAUGCCAAAGCAGGCACGUCUGGAAGUGCCCGUGGCCGGGGCUGUCCGUGCCACAGCAGGGGCAGCCCUGAAGGCUUGGGGCCCAAGGACAGGCCCGUGCUGCAGCAGGUACAGCUUGAAGCACCGGGGGCUGCUCAUGAGGCCGUGCUGGAGCACCUGGAAGUGCGUGGCCAUGGAUAAACCCCCAGUGGAGCAGGAACACCCUGCAGGGCCUGCAGCCGGGCCGAGGCUCUGUUGGGCGGGUUUGCUUUCUGAGGGGACGGCGGCUGUGGGUGAGGCCGUGCUGCAGCAGAUCUGUCUCUGAGGCACUGAGGCCCAUGGACAGGGCCGUGCUGCAGCAGAUCUGUCUCUGAGGGCACUGAGGCCCAUGGACAGGGCCGUGCUGCAGCAGAUCUGUCUCUGAGGGCACUGAGACCCAUGGACAGGGCCGUGCUGGAACAGCCGCCCCUCAGAGCCCCUGUGGCUGUGGAUAAAUCCAUGCAUGUGGAUAAGGCAAUAGGUGUCCCCUGAAAAGACUGGCUCAUAGACAAGGCCCCACUUGGAGCAGGUACAGCCCUAAGGGACUGCAGUCUGUGGGUAAAUCCAAGCUGGAGUAAAGGCAAGGGGAGGAGUCCAUUGCAAUGUUAAACUCCUUCAUUGCAAGGGGUUCAUUGCAAUGAUAGGGAGUAAGAGGCUGUAAUAGAAAUUUAAAUUGUUAUAACCCAUUAUUUGAGUUGCAUAUUAUAGGAAUUACGAUAACAAGAACCAAAGUACCUAUGAAGGAGAAGCCUUACAAGAAACAGACUCCCUUUGCAGAUGGACUUUCUGGAGAUUGGCUAAGGCAUUUUGAUGCAGCCCACUGCAGUUCCCUGAAGUAAGGAAUACUCUGGGAGCUGAAAACAGCAGUGCUGAUAUCCUGGCCCAGAAUCUCCAACCUCAGUUUAACAUACUGAAACACUUGAGAGGCACCAAGCUCCUUUUCACCAAUGUGGCUGCCACAGAUGCCAACACUUUCUUGCUGAAAGCAGAAAACUACAGAGACAGAUACAUAUCAUCCAUAUGCUCAUCUAAAGACUACAUUAAAGAUUUGCUGUCCCUUGGCACACCAGUGCUCAGGGAAAGGCACCCUUUGACAGCCAGAUCUGUGCAAUGCACUCAUGUUCUGGUCGAGCAAUCCAAUUGCAAGUGGGAGAGAAGGAGAAGAGAGGGAUGAGGAGAGCAGAAGAGAAAAGCAGAUUGUGGAGCAAGAAGUGUUGGUCACUGAGAGCUCUGCAUAAGCAAGUGGGACGCUGGUAAAAAUCUCAGCAGAGAAAGCACAGACAGCAGUACAACACAAUGUGUUUUUACUGUAUCCAGCUGCACUUAGAUGUCAGGCUGCUGUGCCCUACCCUCGACUCUAGAGCAUCUGUGAAGUACCAAGGUGUGCCCCAAAAGGGCAGUGAUCCACAGAAUUCUCACUGUAUCCGGAGGUACACAUAGGAACAUGUACAUGAGUAUGUAAGGAUGGAUGAAGUUGCAGAAUAGCUGUCAUUUUUCCAGGAAAGGGUUAUCAGGCAAAGAGGAUCCUUUAAAUGUUUUGUGUUCCAUACUGCACAAAAACCUAUCAGCAUACACUUGUUUUAAGCAGCUCAUACUGCCCAGC